UCGAACGGUAACGGGCCCGCAAGGGUGCCGACGAGUGGCGGACGGGUGAGGAAUACAUCGGAAUUUGCCCAGUCGUGGGGGAUAACGUAGGGAAACUUAUGCUAAUACCGCAUACGACCGGAAGGUGAAAGCGGGGGAUCGCAAGACCUCGCGCGAGUGGAUGAGCCGAUGUCGGAUUAGCUAGUUGGUGGGGUAAAGGCCUACCAAGGCGACGAUCCGUAGCUGGUCUGAGAGGAUGAUCAGCCACACUGGGACUGAGACACGGCCCAGACUCCUACGGGAGGCAGCAGUGGGGAAUAUUGGACAAUGGGGGCAACCCUGAUCCAGCAAUGCCGCGUGUGUGAAGAAGGCCUUCGGGUUGUAAAGCACUUUUGUCCGGAACGAAGCGCGCAGGGUGAAUAGCCUUGUGAACUGACGGUACCGGAAGAAUCAGCACCGGCUAACUUCGUGCCAGCAGCCGCGGUAAUACGAAGGGUGCAAGCGUUACUCGGAAUUACUGGGCGUAAAGCGUGCGUAGGUGGUUUUUUAAGUCCGUUGUGAAAGCCCUGGGCUCAACCUGGGAAUGGCAGUGGAUACUGGAAAGCUAGAGUGCGGUAGAGGGUAGUGGAAUUCCCGGUGUAGCAGUGAAAUGCGUAGAGAUCGGGAGGAACACCAGUGGCGAAGGCGGCUACCCGGACCAGCACUGACACUGAGGCACGAAAGCGUGGGGAGCAAACAGGAUUAGAUACCCUGGUAGUCCACGCCCUAAACGAUGCGAACUGGACGUUGGGAGCAACUUGGCUCUCAGUGUCGAAGCUAACGCGUUAAGUUCGC
rnacentral:rRNA from 1 species